rnacentral:rRNA from 1 species
UACGGGGGGGGCAAGCGUUGUUCGGAAUUACUGGGCGUAAAGGGCUCGUAGGUGGCCAACUAAGUCAGACGUGAAAUCCCCAGGCUCAACUUGGGAACUGCGUCUGAUACUGGAUGGCUUGAAUUCGGGAGAGGGAUGCAGAAUUCCAGGUGUAGCGAUGAAAUGCGUAGAUAUCUGGAGGAAUACCGGUGGCGAAGGCGGCAUCCUGGACCGAGAUUGACACUGAUGAGCGAAAGCUAGGGGAGCAAACGGG